rnacentral:rRNA from 1 species
UACAGAGGGUGCGAGCGUUAAUCGGAAUUACUGGGCGUAAAGCGCGCGUAGGCGGCUUUUCAAGUCGAUUGUGAAAUCCCCGGGCUUAACCUGGGAACUGCAGUCGAGACUGUCUGGCUAGAGUAUGGGAGAGGGAAGUGGAAUUUCAGGUGUAGCGGUGAAAUGCGUAGAUAUCGGGAGGAACACCGAUGGCGAAGGCAGGUCUCUGGGCUGACACUGACGCUCAUGCACGAAAGCGUGGGGAGCAAACAGG